AGCUUUGCGCAGUGGCUGUAUCGUAACCAAUGAGGGUUAUCCGAGGUGUGAUUAUUGCUAGUUGAAAACUAUUACCAAUACCCCGCCCUGGGGAUGCAAACGCAUCGCCUGAGGCAAUUUCUGAAGGGUUCUGUUGAAC